GACGAACGCUGGCGGCGUGCUUAACACAUGCAAGUCGAACGGUAAGGCCCUUCGGGGUACACGAGUGGCGAACGGGUGAGUAACACGUGGGUGAUCUGCCCUGCACUUCGGGAUAAGCCUGGGAAACUGGGUCUAAUACCGGAUAGGACCACUGCCUGCAUGGGUGGUGGUGGAAAGCUUUUGCGGUGUGGGAGGGGCCCGCGGCCUAUCAGCUUGUUGGUGGGGUGAUGGCAUACCAAGGCGACGACGGGUAGCCGGCCUGAGAGGGUGACCGGCCACACUGGGACUGAGAUACGGCCCAGACUCCUACGGGAGGCAGCAGUGGGGAAUAUUGCACAAUGGGAGCAAGCCUGAUGCAGCGACGCCGCGUGAGGGAUGACGGCCUUCGGGUUGUAAACCUCUUUCAGCACCGACGAAGCGCAGGUGACGGUAGGUGCAGAAGAAGGACCGGCCAACUACGUGCCAGCCGCCGCCGUAA
rnacentral:rRNA from 1 species